rnacentral:lncRNA from 1 species
UUUUUUUUUUUUUUGUUGCCUAUAUAAAAUUAUAUAAUGGUAAACUCGAAAGUAAGAAUUUGAAACAAAAAAUUUAUAUUCUGCACAAAUUAAGUUUCAACUAGAUUUAACAAAAGUUGCAACCCGGCAAUAGAAAGAAAACAUGUAUCAUCAAUCUUGUUCAUAACAACUUAACAAGUAAAAAGAAAAAAAGUAAUGCUAGGGAGACUAAAUUUGUAGACUUAUUUUGCAAACUAAAUGAUGUGUCAACAAUAAGAAAUAAGCAUGUUUAUCAACGUUCAAGUAAUAAUCCAAUCAUCUCUGUAGAUCACUAGCUCUCUGGCAAAAAGUGUGGCUACUGUUCUACAGUCCUAGCUUUCAAAAAGGCAAAAGGUCUAUAGGCAAGGAAAUUAUAAUUGAGAGCCAUGUGUCAAUUGUCAAAAACAAAAGGGCAUGGUUUGUUUUCUGAGCCUCUAGCCCUUAAAACUUUCAAAUGAAUAUUCUUUAUUUCUUAGUUUUUGUGUGGUAUGAAAGUUUUAAUUUAAUAUUAUUUAAAUUUCAUUAUUGGGUAAAACAAAAAAAAUGUAAGAUUCAUACUAUUAGAUGUAAGUAUUGGCUAAUUUUAUUUUAUUUUCCAUAAAAACAACUAUAAGAUUCAUACUUUUCAUUUUGCUAGGUGGGCUAUGAUAAUUAAAAAUCAUAAAUAACCCAAAUAAUUAAUAUUUUUAAGCUUAAAUAACCAAAACUCUCUCUAUACUAUAGCCCAUCAAAAACCUGUACUCAGCUUUGUCGGAUUCUUCCAACAAAUCAAACCCAUGCCGCAAUUUAGAUGAUCAGUUGAAAAGGUUAACGUCUAGAAAAAAGAUGUAAGUGCAUUGUUGUCUACUACUUUUGUACGUUGAAAAAGUAAUAAACGACUUCAAACUAUAUAUGUAUGAUGAAUAUUCUUGAUUUCUUAGCACUAGUAGGAAAAACUACUUCCACGACAAAGCAAAAUCAGUCGUGCAAGGACUCCUUGCGCAAUGAAGAAAAUAUCUAUGUCACACAAGGUUAGUCUACUUUGCGUGACGCAGAACUUUAUCGCACAAAAACGUUUGCACGACGAAAAAAAGAUGUUCAUCAUGCAAAGCCAGUAAGAAAACCACGAGUGUUUUUUUUUUUUUUGAACGAAAAUAAAUGCGCGACCAAGAUCUUCUCGCGGAACCUUAGCGUGACAAAGGCUUCAUCACGCAAAGCUUGUUCAGUUUCUAGGGCAGAGCAUUCAACGCAUAGGAAACCGAGGAACACUUGUGUGACAAGGGUUUCGUCGCGCAAGUUACAAUUAGUUUUCAAUUAGAGCAUUCAGUGCAUGUGAAUCAAUAGGAAUCUACAUUGUAUUUAGUGUGGGUCUUUGCGGAACAAAGCCUUUGUCAUGCAAAGGCCCUCACCUUUCUAUAAAUAUGUGUUUCUGCUCUCCUUAUUUUUCCCAAUUUUGUUGUCCAUAUUCUUCACAAUUCUGUUCGUGCUGGGAUGGAGGAUAAAAACAAGGAUCAGAAUGUGCCAGCCAACUCGAAUGAUUUGAGGAACCAUGUGGAGUUCACGCAUGCGAUUGUUGUAACCAUGGGGAAUAAUUGUCCUACUACUGAGUGGCGUUCUUGGACAGAUGUGCCCGAGAAUGUGAAGAAGACGGUGAUGGAUGAAUUAUUAGUAAGUAUACUGUUGAUGGAUCAAUAAUUAAUUUUGUGAAAUUUUUUUAUUAUAUGUUGGAAUUAAUUAUUUGCAUAUAUGUGUAACAGUGUAAGUAUACUCUUGAUGACGAUACGAACAAAGAGUUGAUGAAGUUGAUGGAGGCAGCGUUGGAGGGAGGUUAUAAUUAACUUUAAAUUUAUGUUUUUUGGACAAUAAUUAACUUUAAGGUUUUUUUAUAAGUUUUUGGACUUAAUUAAACUUUAAUUCCCGUUUGGUUUUUUAAAUAAUUGAAUGGAAUAUAAUAUUAAUUUUGCUUAAGGUUUUAAUUAUUUUUAGAAUAAAUAUUAUAACUGAAAAUUUGUUUGUAAUUAUGAAGUUUACAUAAACACAGAUAUCUAUGUUUACAUAAACUUCAUAAUUACAAUCUAUCACAUUCGUCGCUAGAAUGUUUGCACGACAAAUCUUGUCGAUGUGCAAAGCCUUGAGUGACAAAAGGAUGUCGCUAUGCAAAACCUUGCACGACAAAGCUUUCAUCGCUCAAAAGGCAUUCAAUUUUAGGUCAGCGUAUUUGGUGCAUCUAAAUCAGAGAAAUCAAUACUGUGUUUAGUACAGAUGUUUGCGCGACAAAGUGUUCAUAACGCAAAGUCCCUAACCUUCCUGUAAAUGUGCGCUUCUGCUCUCCUUAUUCUUCACAAUUUGUUUCAAAAACGCUUACCUAGUCUGCAAAAUAUAAUCAGUUCGUUCUUUGAUUGUUGGUACAAUGGCCGACAGUGGUGCGCAUUCAUCAAAGACAAUGGAUGGCAAAGGUUCCAAAAAAGGUGUGCGUUGUAAAUUUUUCAUUUUUUUUAAAUUUUUUAUUUAGAUUAUGUAUUAUGAAAAUAUAUUUUGUGGAUAGAAAAGAAGAAAUUUGCUACGGUACGGGUCCGACAAAGUUAUGGUCGUAGACGUUACCGAAUCACUGCUGACGAAGUAAUAGGGGUUGUGAAAUCAGAACAGCAUGCCAGCUUUUGGUCUAACAUUGGAGCAUUGGUGCGUACCAAAUGUGAUGUGGAUUGGGAGUCUUGGAGAGCCAUCCCCGAGGAGCUAAAGAUGCACAUGAUUGAUGAGUUAGCUAUAUGUGUUAAUUUUAUUAGUUAAAUAAUAAUGUUUGUUAAAUAUAAUAUAAUAGUGAUCUUUUAAUUUAUUAAUUUUUGCAUGACAACAUGUUCAAGUUGCGUUUCCGGGAGUGGAAGUUUGAUAAUCAAUGCACAGCAAAACUACAACAAGAACCACAAGUACCGGCGGAUGACUAGAAUAGGGUUUUUUAUUUCAAUUCUAAAAAGUAAUUAGAUCUGAAUUUUAAGUUUUUUUAGUAUGAAGAGUUUUAUUAAAUAUGUACUUAAUGUUUAAUAUUAAUAAAAUUAAUCCAUUUUAAUAAAUAUGUAUAUUAAUUAAUUAUGCACAAAUGGUAUAACGAUUUCAGUUCAUGAUUUAGUAAGUAUUUAUGUGUUUUGAAAAAAAAUUGAAGAGUGAAUGAAAAAAAAAUUGAAAAAAGAAAGUUAAAAAAACAAACAACUCAAUAAAAUAAAAUAAGGGAGUUUUAACGAAAAGCCUACGGUACUGUUCACCUUAACGAAAAACCACAUUUUUACACUAAAAAGUCAAACAUGGUACUAUUCACUUUACCCUUUCUUUUGUCCUUAUCAUUAAAACUCAAAGUUUUCAAGCCCUUUUUAUUAGUUUUCCUAUAAAAUAAUGCACGAUGAACUAUGGUUCGUCGCACAAUGUGUUUAAAAAACGUGGGAAAUCGUAGUUGCCUGGCGCCAAAAAGUUGAAGCCCAAUGUUUUGCACAACAAUGCUUUCGUUGCACAAGGUCUUUCACUUUACUCAACUUAACCAGAAUGCAGGAAGGCAGAAGCUGCAAAACAAUUGCAGCAGCUGCCUUCCCCUGGUGGAAUUUCCAACAAUUGGAGGUAUAAUUUUUCUUAACUAACUUAUUUAAUUUCCAUUAAUUUAAAUUGUGUUGUAUGUAGUUUAUAGGUGUUGUGAGUUUAUGUAUUUGUAUGCAAUCAUUUUUAUAUGGAUGUACAAAAAAUGGUUUGUAAUUUUCAUACGAGCUUAGUUUCUCGUUUGAGAAUUAGUUGGAUUUCGCAAAUGGAUGUGAAAGCAUGACUGCAGUCCAAUUAAUUCUUGAUUUUUCCCAAAAUCUUGGACAGUUUGAGAAUGCACAUUUGCAUGUUGUAUUUUACAGUUCACGCAUUAGAGUUUGAACGUGGGCAAUGUGGUAGCAUUUAUUUGCGUUCUUCGGGUGCAUCGUAGUUUUUUGUAUCUACGUUGUGCACUUGAAGAGCUGCAGGGAGAUGCUGCCGAAAUUUUCCCAUGAUCGAACUCUAAUGUGUUGGAACUGUAAAUUACAACACGUAACUGUGCAUUCUCAAAUGAGAUAGGACCCAUACCAGAGGCAUAAGGUGGCAUGUCAUAAUUGAAGUUGUUGUAACCCUUGUAAAUAUUUUUUGUUUGCAAGUGAAACGGACAAACAGUGGAUACAUAAUCCUAACAAAUGUGCUGAUGAUUAUUUGGAUGGAAUAAAUGAGUUCCUCGAUUUUGCAAUUGCAAACAACCACGGUUCAACUCAAAUUCGGUGUCCUUGUAGAAAGUGUAACAACUUAAUGAUUGAAUAUUUUGAAAUUGUUCGAUACCAUUUAGUCAAAAAUGGGAUGAUGGAAACCUAUACUAUGUGGAAUCAUUUGCUUCUACAAAGAGAAUAAAGCGUUGGAUAAAUGCCCUAUAUGUAAUGAGUCACAGUUUAAAAUGACCUCUCAGAAUAUAAGAACGAAGAUUCCACAAAAAGUUAAGUGUUAUUUCCUAUUAAAGCAGUUGCAGCGAUUGUAUAUGUUGACGCACACUGCAAGCGAUAUGAGGUGCCAUAAGGACAGACGAGUGGAUGACGAUGCUAUGAGACAUCCUGCAGAUGGAGAGGCCUGGAAAGAGUUUGAUCAGUUGUACCCUGAUUUUACAUGUGAGCCCCAAAACGUUAGAUUGGGAAUUGUGACAGACAGGUUUAAUCCAUUCGGGGUUCUAAGCCAAAACAACAUCACUUGGCCAAUCUUCGCAAUUCCAUUUAAUUUGCCACCUAGGAAGUGUAUGAAAAAAUAAUAUAUGAUAAUGACGUUGUUGAAAACCGAAGAUUUGGGCACGUUUAUUGAUGUGUUUUUACAACCAUUGGUUGAUGAACUAAAAGAAUUAUAGGAAAAUGAUGUUCCCACAUACGAUAAUUCUACCAGGAAGAUGUUCACUUUUAGAGCAGCCAUGAUGUGGACUAUAAAUUAUUUUCCUGCGUACGCUAUGAUGUCUGGGUAGAGCACUAAGGGCUAUUACACAUACCCAGUUUGUAAAGAGAACACAAUAUCUAGUUCGCACGCUGACCUAAAGUGGGACCACGAGUGGUGUCAGAAAAAGACAGCCUUCUUCAACGGCACAGAGCAUCGGCCAAGACCCAGAGAAUGGUCCAACGAUGAAAUUUUGGCUCAAGUGAAUCGAUUGGAUUUUGCUCCUUUGGGCAAAUCUGUAAAUAGGACAAGAACAAACACACAUCUAAACUGGACACACAAGAUGAGGUUGUUCGAACUCUCGUACUGUCCAAAUUAAAAUUGAGACACAUCGAUGUAAUGCAUGUUGAGAAAAAUGUGUUUGAUACACUGAUCGGAACUAUACUAGACAUCGAGGGAAAAACAAAGGACACAAUAAAAGCUAGGAUCGAUCUGGAAAAAAUGGGCAUUAGGCCAGGUUUAUGGAUGACGAGGGACAGAGACAUAUCCAGAAAGAAGCUCACAUCAUUUUUGGUGAAACCAGAUAAGAGGAAAGAGUUUUUGCAGUUUCUAUCUUUUGUAAAGUUUCCAGAUGGGUAUGCUUCAAACAUCAGCCGUUGCGCAAACGUGGAUGGAGGCAAAUUUUCUGGCCUCAACAUUUAUGAUUGUCAUGUCAUACUUCAACGCCUUUUCCCAGUGAGAAUUCAAAACCUCUUGCCCGAAGACGUGGUGAAGUCGAUUAUGUUGUUGGCAAGAUAUUUUUCUCAAUUAACUGCAAUAUCUUUGCGCAAGUCUGAUAUUAAAUAGUUGUGCGACGAUAUUAUUGAAGUGCUAUGCAAGUUUGACCAAAUAUUUUCUCCAACUUUCCUCACAAGCAUGAUCCAUGUGAUGAUUCACUUGCCAGAUAAGGCACUUCUAGUCGGACCCGUCAACUAUCGAUGGAUGUAUCCAAUAGAAAGGUAUAUACUCGCCAUAAAUAAUUUAGUUCGUGAUGUAUGUACGAUUUGACUAAUUUUAUACGAUAUUUUGUUUAUUGAUGCAGACUACUAGGUGAAUCAAAAAAGAGUGUACGAAACAAGGCAAAGCCCGAAUGAUCAAUCAUGGAGGCAUGGGUCGUAUUUGAGUCGCUUACAUUUUGUGCAAUGUACCUACAAGACAUUGAGACUACGUUCAACCGACAGCAACGCAAUAAUGACGGUGGUGUGAGAAGUGAAAAACUUUCUGUUUUUGCCCAAAUUGCAUAACCCUUUGGUGAACGAAUCAGAGGUGAGUCGUUUGACAAAAUGAAACUAGAGGUAGCACAUUGGUUUGUACUUAACAAUUGUAACGAGACAAUUACCUAUCUAGAUGAGCAUGAAGAGUUGAUGAAGCGGGAACAUCCUUCACAUUCAUAUGCCAAAAAGCAUCAUGAAUUGUUUCCUCAAUGGUUUCGUGAAAAUGUAAGUUGUUCGUGUUUUGGGUUAUUUGCAUAAUUGUAAAUGUUAAACUAGCACGACAACUUUUUCUCAUUUAUUUAGGUGAAUUCACGAAUAACUUACAUUUACAAUUAUGCAAAUAUGCAACUUGGUUGUUAGGCCCCUAAGCGCAGAAUUGUACUCCGAUUGUCAUGUAAAUGGCAUCAAUUUUUUGGUAGCUAAGCGUGAUGACAAGCUUUGUACACAAAAUAGUGGGGUACAUGUCUCGAGUACAGGCGACAUUGCAGACAUUGGUUUCUAUGGAAAACUGGCAAGUGUUGUACAAUUGCUUUAUAAAGAUUGGUGUCAAAUUAUCCUGUUUAAGUGUCGUUGGUUUGAUACAAACCCACAUAGGGUUGGAGGUGUUUAGUGAGACGAUGGUUUGCUAUCGGUCAACACUAACAUAUGUUGGUAUAACAAUGACCCUUACAUUUUGGCGACGAUGGCCAAAUAAAUUUUCUAUAUAGAUGACCCUAAGGGCGCGAGGGGAUGGAAGUAGUUCAGAAGAUUUACCACAGAGGUCUAUAUGAUAUUUCCAACCGAGAUCCUAAUGCCGAUGAUGAUUAUGGUGACGUUGUUGACCAACAACUGGAGACUUCAAUAGAACUUGGUGCAGAUAUACUACGGGAUAUGACUAUUGUACAAGAACCAUAUCAGGUAGCCGGAGGUCCUGAAAUUGAAAUACCAAUCGACUCAUUAUGAUUAACCUCGGGGAUCUACUGUGAUACAAUGCACCCGAGCGCGCGAACAAUGAUGUUGACGUGCCUACAGACGAAGAGGAAUGGGAGUAUGAAUCUAACGAUAGUGACGAUAUUUAUUCUAGUUCAGACGAGGAUUAAUGAAAAAUUGUGAUGUAAAUGUAAUGAUAUCUAUUGAAUGGUAUUUAUUUUGUAUACAAACAAAAGUUUCCUUUAACAUUUGUAACAAAAUUAAUUAAAAAUAUUAUUUAUUUAUUUAAACCAAAAAAUAAAUUAAAUUUCCACAUAUGCACGACGACGUUUUAUAAAUGUUUGUCGCACAAAUAUUUAAAAAUUCUUUUUUUAAACUAUGGGUCCAUGAAAGUUUAAACACCCUCAUUGCGCAAACAUGUAAAAAUUUGAUUGUUUUGCCAAAAUUGGGCACCUUUUUAUUUCAACGCCUUAACUCUCUCUCUCUCUCUCUCUCUCUCUCUCUCUCUCUCUAUCUUAGACGCACUCAAUCUCUCUCUCGAUUCUGUCUGAACUCAAGCUCCCCUCUCUCUCUAUUCUCUCACUCUCUUCUCUCCCUCACUCGCACUCUUUCUAUCUUAGACUCACUAUCUCAAGCUCCUCUCUCCUCUCUCGCACUCUCUCUAUUUCUCUGUCUCUCUGUCACUCUCCCUAUCGCAUCUGCCGCACUCCUAUGCCACACCCUAUCGCUGCCGCCGCAACAUUACUAGGUAAGCACCCAGUCUUCCUUAAUUCAUCUCCCUUAAUUCAAUUAUUUAUAAGUGCAAUUUUCAUUGAUUUUUCUGUUGAAUUGUUCUAAUUACAACAUUUAGGGAUUUAAGGUUGGAAUUGGGAAUCCUGGGUAAGGGAUUUAGGGUUGGAAUUAGGACUCCUGGGUUAUGGAUUUAGAGUUCGAAUUGGGGAUCUAGGGUUAUUGAUUAAUUUAUUAAUUAGUUUUGAUUAUAAAUAUGUAUUUCUUUUUUGUUUCUAGAUAAUGAAAAAUGUGUUUUACCGGGACAAAAUCUUUUAUUAGGACAGUUAGAAAUUUGAAAGGAUGAAAACACGAAACCCCCAACUUCAUGAAAGCGCGCUCCUUGAACUCUCCAAGGUCUAAUCUUUUUUCUCUCAUUGUUUCUGAAUAAUUCGGUUCCUCUAAGUUUGAUUAAUCAUUUUUAGCAUGUUGGGUUUUUGUUUUUUUUUUGUUUUAGGGUUUAUGGGGUUGAAGAUUUGACGAUAAAGUUUGGGUUUAGGGUUUGUGAUUUGGGUUCUAUUGAGUUUUGUUUUGUUUUAGCAUCAUUUCGUUGUUCUGUAAUUAUGUUUAUUUGCUGAGAAAAUCAAGGCAAUUAGGGUAAUGAGAUGAUUAUUUUUGCGUGAUAUGUCUUUCGUGAGAAGAGGGGUUGCUUGUUCUUUUCUUAUUAUCAGAGUUGAGACUUCAAAUUAGCAUCUUUGUAGUCACAGCAUGCAUGUGGUACCCACCUUACUAUAAUUGUUCCUAAGGUAGGAUCAAAAUUGGAUCUUGAUGCAUUUGUUUAUGUUUCCGGUAUGUCUCUAUAUCGAUUAUGUUUAACCAAUUUUUGUGUUAGAUGGAGUUUUGAACCUUUUCAGUUAUUGGUUAUGGAGAAGGUGUGUAGCUGCAAUUUGUUUUAUGUGUCUGGGUUUAAAAUGGUGCAGUCGUUGUUUAGAGUAUAAAUCUUUACGUCGAGACUGCAAAGCCGUACACAUAAUUUUACAUCACGUAUCCAAGCACAUAAUCUAAGUGUCAAGCCCCAACAGCUACAUGUGCUCUCAUGUCAUCCCAUGUAUGUGUUGUUCGCGCGCUUAGCUCCCUGUGUUUAGCUCAAGUUACUCUACACUACACAUGAGGGUAUUGUUGAGUGUGUUUAUACACAAUUGGAAUGUGAAGUCUCUUAUAGGAAUAUAUUAAUGAUCUUGUGCCUCUCCACUCAUUGUCAAUUGGUCCUUGGUUGGGUGCUCUAACUUUAUCAGUGGUAUAGGAAUGAAAGUGAUAUAACAUACUAAAUAGGCUGCAUAAUUUCUUAAUUUGCUUUAUUAGUUUGAAGUUUUCAUUGACUACAUUAGUAAAAGUUGCAUAUUAGAUCUAGAAAGAAGUCAGUUCUUUCCAUAAGAGCCUGACGAUGCCUUCAAGCACUUACAAAUACUAUUUUGACCUAAUUUGCUCUUUUAUUUUUAAAGCUAUAAGAAAAGAAAAAAUGCCUUCAUGCGAUACAAUGCUAAAUUUGCCACCCCUAUGUGAGCUAUGCAUAUGUGUUCUUCAUUGAGGAAAUAAGUUCUUAGUCCUUACUGCAAAAAAUGAUGUGAGCAGUUAGUUACACUUCCAAAAUAAAAUGCUAACACAUUAUCUACUGCAUUUUUCAUUGUCAAUGUCAGGAUACUCUGGAUUAUAUUUUUGUUCCUCAAUCUUAUAAUCACAUACACAUAAAUAAAAUAAAAGUCAGAGUCUUUCUCUGAGAUUUUUACCUUCAUUUCUGAGUUACUUCUUCCGUAUGUACAAUAUCAUCAAUCCAACUACGGAUUCUAACUACUAAAACCUCACUAAAAUCUCACUAAUUUUCACCAUGCAAAAUCUAACUACUACCUAUUAUUGAUUUGAUAAUAUGUUGGUUUUGACUUUGUAAUGGCAUGCAUUUGAUAAUUAGUUGGAAUUAAUUUCAUCAUCUCAUUUUAAGAAUGCAAAACCUUGCUAUAAGUUCUCAUUUUAUUUGUUUGCUGGGAAUUGAGCUCCGUAUUUAACUUUGUCAUGUCAUCCCAUUCGCUCAAACAUUGAGCUACUAUAUCACACAUUCUACCCUCAUUCACAUUUGCAUUACACAUGGACAUGGAUGCAACAAGUUUUGUAACUAUCAUGGUACCAGUUGCUGUCAGUUUGUUCAAGUUUUGUAACUGUCUUCCAUUCAUAAUUUGUACAAGUUUUGUAACUUAGGAAUGUAUUUGGAACUCUGUUUACGAUUUCAUUUAUUUAUUUCUAACUGUCAAUGUUAAGAUAUGUUUUAGUAUAUCCAAACCAUAUUAAAGUAGUGAAAUGUAACUUUUUAAUUAAUUGUUUUUGUAGAUGUGGAACUUAAUAUCAAACCGACGGCCAGCUAGUAGGGGCAGUCAGAUACCUUCUCCAGGAGGUAGUGCGAUUGCCACCUCCACACCUGAUGUGACCACGACGGCUGUCCCUCAAGUCAUGCCUUUGGGGUCAACGGUGUAUAUGGCUCUUGCGUCAUCAACUUCUUCGGUGAUGCAUCCUAUACUAAGCGCCCAACAAACUCAUCGACGGCCCUGGAGUUCUGAAGAGGCCCAGCAAUCUGGUGAGGCUUCCUUUGUCCAUGAAAAAGGGUCCCAUACAGGUAAGCUUGCUCUAUACAUUUAUAAGCUUGCUUCUAGUUUCAUCUUUAUUCAUAGCCAUAAUGCUAUGUUCCUUACAAAUAUACGAGUGCCACAUGUGGUUUCUAAUAUUUUCUCAAGUUUUGGCUUGCAAAUUGACUGUAAACAAUAAUUCAGAAUAGUCUCCAUUAAUGGAUACAAAUGUUUUCCAGUCUUAAGCUACCUUGCAACUAGAGUAUUUGUAUUAGUUUGAACUGUUUGUCCCAUGCGCGCGCACACACACACACACAUGUAUAACCAUUUUUCCAACUAAUUUUACUGAGAAAAAUUAGUGUGGAUUUUAUUGGGUUGAACAUUUUGAUAUGCAGCUGCAAAAGAUUGUUAUAUUCUUUUGAAUAUGCUAAGCUAAAUAGCAAUCAACCUACUUUACAUCUUUCUUUGUCAACGAGAUGAUCCCUUUUCUGCAGAGAAUAACAUGCAUGCUUGCUAGUUAAUUUGAAUUGUGAUUUUGACCUAUAUUAAUUAUUGUUAAGUAGCACUGAGUAAAUUGUAUAUCAACAAGUUGUAAAUUUUGUUUUAACGUCUCCAAUUGGUAUAAACUGUUUGAAUUGUUAGGUAGAUGUGUUGUUUUUGUUGUUAUAUUAUCUGGAGGUUUUAGGAAAUGUUAUAGUUUUAUGGGAGGUUCUGCCAAAUUUUCGGUAGAAACCAGAAUUCGUCUAAUGUUUACUUUGUUUAUUUGGUAGGUCAAAAAAAACCAAGGGCCCUUGUAGGCUACAAAAGACUUCUCAGACCACUCGUGCCACGACUGAGAAGAUCAUCAUUACAUGGGAUCCUCGACAUUGUGCGACUGCAACAAAGGAGCAGCACAUUGCGUUGGGCACCGACUUUGGCUCGAUUAUCAGGAACCAUUGCCCCCUUAUAUGGAAGUCAUGGAGACCUGUCCCAUAAGGAGUCAAGGAAGUAGUUCUUCAUGAAUUAUCGGUAAGUAUUUUCAACCUCAAAUACUAAAUUUUUAUUAAAGUAUACAAAGAUUAUAAAUUUUAACUACUAUUUAUUUGUUGAGUAUGAGUUUUCCAACCUCAAUGCCAAUCAAAUGCAGUACAUCAACAACCUUUGCUCUGGUAGGUUCACUCAAUAGAAGAGUAACCUCUACAAGCAUUAUGAGCUAUAUGAAGAUCCGAAGGUCACUCUAGAAGUUGGGUGCCCUAUAGAGUUGGUGGACUAUCAAGAUGAAUGGAAGUGGCUAUGCGGCCAUUUUCAAGAUGAGAAAUGUCACAUCCCGGCCUGGGCACCCAUCACAUCUCGGGCCUCGCCUCCGCCGUAGCACGAUAUUGUCCGCUUUGGGCCCUGACCACAACCUCACGGUUUUGUUUCUGGGAACUCACACGAGAACUUCCCAGUGGGUCACCCAUCAUGGGAUUGCACUUGCACGAACUCGCUUAACUUCAGAGUUCCGAUGGAACCUGAAGCCAGUGAGCUCCCAAAAAGCCUUGUGCUAGGUAAAGAUGGGAAUAUAUACAUAUAAAGCUUACAAGAUCCACUCCCCUGGGCGAUGUGGGAUGUUACAAUCCACCCCCUUAGGGGCCCAACGUUCUCGUCGGCACACAUCCGGCCAGGGAUUGGCUCAGAUACCAAAUUGUCACAUCCUGGCCCAGGCACCCAUCACAUCUCGGGCCCCGCCUCUGCCGUAACACGAUAUUGUCCUCUUUGGGCCUCAACCACGCUCUCACGGUUUUGUUUCUGGGAACUCACACGAGAACUUCCCAGUGGGUCACCCAUCAUGGGAUUGCUCUCGCGCGAACUCGCUUAACUUCGGAGUUUCGAUGCAACCUGAAGCCAGUGAGCUCCCAAAAAGCCUCGUCCUAGGUAGAGAUGGGAAUAUACAUAUAAGGCUUACAAGAUCCACUCCCUUGGACGAUGUGGGAUGUUACAAGAAAUACCUAGUACGUAUAAUAUAUAUUUCAAUAAUAUAUUAAUAAAAAAAAUUUACAAUUUUCAAUAAAAUUUUCAUUUUUUCAUUCAUUUGUUAUAAAUAUCUAAACUAAUAUGUUUUUUUAAUUCUGAAAAAAAAAAGUGAAGGCAAACUCGAUCAAUUGGUCAAAAAAGAAACUUCUUCACCGAUUUGGCUCACAAUGCUUCUCUUAUAGGUUGGAGGAGCAAUAUAAGGCAACCGUAUAUUUAUUUUAAGUUUUUAAUCUUUUUACUCUUGAUUACACAAUUGGUAAUCUAUGUUAACACUUUUUAAAUUUUUUUCAGGGGGGGUCAAAGUUUCCAGAAAUUGACAUGUUCAAGGAGAUGUAUGUUCGGCCCAGGGAUGAGCUGACGGAGCAGCUUCAUGUAAGUUAUUUCAAUUUUUUAAUAUUAAAUUAGUAUUAAUAUUAAUUACAUGUAUAUUCAAAUUAAAUUGUUUAUUUCAUUUUUCUAGUCCACCAUGGUGGAGAAGGGCCAGACUGUUCUGGAGGAGAUUGUGUCCUAAUUCCCGUAGAGACCCCGAUCGAGGAGGUGUUUCCCCUUGAGGACGCUGGUUUUCAAAUCAUGACAGACACACUCAAUCGGACCCUUAAUCGUCGACCUAGGAAUGUUCACCGGGGGCUUGGGAAAACCCGCCUUCGAGACCUGUCUGCCUCAUCUUCCAAGCAGAGAACUGUCAAAAUGUUAACAUCUGAAGUGGCAAACCUAAAGCAGUGGAUUACCGCCCAGCAGUCUCAGAUUGCAGCCCAAAACAAUUUGAUGAACCAGAUUUGUCAGGCACUUCAAAUCUCUAGCAUUCACUUCCCCGACAUUGAACCACCUCUAAAACGACCUUUCAGCCGCCCACCACACCAAUUACAACCUCCCAGCCCCCCAACGCAGCAACAACACCACCAGCAGGCAAGUGUGAUGUGAGUUAUUGCCAGCAACAACAUUUUGUGUGUUGAUAAAUAUAUUUUUUAUAUUUUUCAAAUUUUUUUUUAAUUUUUUUUUAUGAGGUGAGUUAUUGGCAACCAUGACACGACGACUUAGAUGGAGGCAUGCUGGCCGUCACGUGGGAGUGACGUAACCAUGUGCACAGUACGGAAGCAAUAAAAAUAUAACGGAAUUUCGAAGGAAUAAAAACCAAACUACUAGCAUAACUAGCUAAGAUACAGUGCUAGUGCGAGAUUAAGGGUGAAAUACACAACCAGAGCAUAAAUAUUCUAGAUGCAGUCAAGCAGGACAAGUGCUAAUUAUACAACACCCAAGGGUGAUCCGACAUUUAUGAUGUUCUGUCAAAACCCCCGUUGAAAUCCUCGUGAUCCUCCAAAGCACUUCUACCUAAAACCUGGAUGGGCGCAAAACAAAAAGUGUGACUGGGUAAAAACAAAGAUUUUCAAAAUCAUUUCAUUUCUCAAAAUUCUAACCCCUUGCCGUAAAACCUGUAUAAUUGCCCAGAAAAUAAUAAUAAUAAUAAGCUGUGUCAGAAAUCAUACUCAAGAUGAAAAUCCAUAGAAGUAUACCAUGUUAAAGUAUCUCAAUGUAAUGCUAUCAGUAAUCCAGGCAAAAUAUAUCAAUGUCAAAUAUCGCAUCAGCCAAAUCCCUCUAACUCAAUCUGCACGGCUGUGUAUAUAGCUCAUAACCAAUCUCAAUCAUACCAAAUCAAAUCCUGCACACGAGUCGGAACCACCUAAAGUUGUUUGUAGCACAAGAUUAGGUGUAAAGUAAAUAUGCUCUAGUGCUACGAUCACGUGAAGGUUGUGCAAAUAAUCGCGGGUCACCUACAAGUCGAAACCACCUAAAGUGGUAUGUACGACAAACCUGUGCACCUAACUUGGAUCCAAGGUAAGCAUAUGGUGCGGGAGGUGAACAUCACGUGAAGGACUGUGCCCUAACUCUGGGUGGGAGCAUUAAAACCGGGGUGCAGGUUUAUGAGCUCUCAAUACAUCACAUCAUAUCUCACAUAACUGAAGUAACCUCAAAUCUUUAAUUUAUGAACUUACCUGGCACUUACAUGUGCGUCCACAGCACCAAUCAUAAUUAUAUGCAACUACUAAUGCAUAAAUAAAAUAGGCAGAUACUUUGCAUGGCAUUUCAAAACGUAUAAUCAUUCAAAUUCAUUUUCUGGGAAAAAAUCUCAAGUAUAUAGGUAUAUACGGAAAACCAAAAGGCCACUCACUGAUAUGUUGAAAGGUCAUAGCCCCAUUGCCUCGAUUGAUGGCCCUCGUCCUCAGGAUGAUAUGCAAAAUAACUAAAUAAACGUUAUUUAAAGCACAUACACAAAACUAGGAUAUAACUUCUCAUACAUUGCUCAAAUGGGGUAUUUGAAUGUACCACCAUGAUCUACUCAACCUCAGGAACAUCGCCACAUUUUUAGAAAAUUUUUCCAGAAGCGCCCCCACGCGCGGCCAAACCCUAACUGAAACUUAAUUGCCAUUAGGAAUAAACGUUAUUUAAAGCACAUACACAAAACUAGGAUAUAACUUCUCAUACAUUGCUCAAAUGGGGUAUUUGAAUAUACCACGAUGAUCUACUCAACCUCAGGAACAUCCCCAAAUUUUUAGAAAAAUUUUCCGACCACCCACACGCCGGCCAAGGCACGGUGUUAUCUGAUGCCGUUAGAGUAUUCCGUCAGACUUGAUGGAAUAUUCCCCUUCGUCUUCCUUAGAUCGCCGGAGAUCGUCACCAGCGUCGGUUUUUGGAAAAAUAAUCAAACCUUCAUAUCUUCUUCGAUUUUCAACCAAAAUUCAUGAAAUCUAUACCAAAUUAAAGCUUAGGAUGAGAGGAACAAAACCUUACCACUCUGGGGACCUAAGACAAAUGGAAUCUCACCGGAGAAACUUUGAUAAUCCGGCCAAACUUGAAACUUAUCAAACUCAACUUUCUGACAUCCAAAACACUUCGUUUUUCUUCUCCGAACUUCGCGAAGAUGUCCUAAAGCUCACUAGCAUCUUAAAAUCUCCUAAAAACUUUGAAAUCACGAGUGCAUGAACAGUAACCCAAAACUGGGUUCUCGGGUUCUCGGGAAAAUGAGGUCUUCAUGCCCAAAUAAUAGUAUCAAUGGGUUCUUGGGCUCACAAGGAACUUGAAUAUGGUCUCCAUUGGUUCGAUCUACAGACGGAAGUAAAGGUUCAAGGUUUGUCCGUACAAUUGUACGGACAUGGAAGAAAAUACAAGAGGAAUGAGAGAGAGUCAACAGGAUAAGGUGAGGGUAUGUAUGUGUGUGGUCCAGUUUGCAGUCAAUCAACCAAAACCAUAGGCCUUUUGUUCUAAUUGGUCCAAAUAAUAAGGAAUAGAACCUAUUGGUCCAAAACCUUAGUUUAUACACACACACAACUCAAUAAUAAAAAGGGUAUAAUAGAAAUUUCCACGCUCUCGAGGAUAAAUAAUAUGUACGUUCGGGACGGGCUGUCACAACCUAUCCCCCUUAAGAAACUUUCGUCCUCGAAAUUUACACAAUAAAUGCAACCCACUAAUAAUCAUAAAACAAGCACGGAUACAUCUCUUUCAUACGCUCCUCCGUCUCCCAAGUGGCUUCCUCCACCGAGUGAUUUCUCCACGAAACCUUCACUAGGUGUACUGUCUUAUUUCUCAGAACUUUAUCCUUCCAAUCCAAAAUAGUCACUGACUCCUCAUCAUAAGUCAAAUCUGAAUUAAUUUCCAGAGGUUAUGGAGGUAUCACAUAAGAAGGAUUUGAAACAUAAUGACGCAACAUAGAGACAUGAAAAACAUCGUGCACUUUGGAUAACUCUAAAGGCAACUCAAGUCUGUAAGCAACCUCACCGACUCGCUCGAUGAUCAUAUAUGGUCCAAUGUACCUAGGACUCAGCUUGCCUUUCUUUCUAAACCGCACAACACCUUUCCAUGGUGAUAGCUUCAGAAAUACCCAAUCACCUACAUUAUACAUCCGAUCAGUGGCAUGUCGGUCUGCUAGACUCUUCUGUCGAUCCUGGGCCGCUUUCAAGUUAGACUUAAUCACCUGAAUAUUAUGUGUAGUCUCCUCCACUAUCUCAGGACCUACCAAAACUCUUUCACCAACUUCUGACCAACAUAAGGGUGUUCGACAAGAUUUACCAUAAAGAACCUCGAAAUGUGACAUACCAAUACUGGAAUGGAAGCUGUUGUUGUAGGAAAAUUCCAUUAAAUCCAACUGCUUAUGCCAAGCGUCACCAAACUGCAACACUGAAGAUCUCAACAUAUCUUCCAACAUCUGAAUAGUCAUCUCUGAUUGUCCAUCUGUUUAAGGAUGAUAUAUUGUACUAUAAAAUAAUCUCGAACCAAGAGCUUCUUGGAAUGCUAUCCAAAAUUUGGAAGUAAAUCUAGGAUCACGAUAUGAGAUAAUACUAAUUGGGACUCCAUGGUCCUUCACAAUCUUCGAUACAAAUAAUUCAGCUAAUCGGUUUAAAGAAUAAUUGUCCCUCACAGGAAUAAAAUGUGCUGACUUAGUAUGCAGAUUAACUAUCACCCAAACGCCAUCAUCCCAUUCUAUGUACGAGGAAGCUUGUACACAAAAUCCAUAGUAAUAUUUUCCCAUUUCCACUGUGGAACGGGAAGUGGCUGCAUCAAUCCAAAAGGUUUCUUUCUUUCUGCUUUGACUUGCUGACAAAUGACAUACCUACUCACAUAUUCAGCAAUUUCUCUUUUCAUACCCAGCCAAUAAUAAAAUGGUCGAAUGGUACGAUACAUUUUAGUACCUCCUGGAUGCAUUGCAUAAGCUGAAAUAUGUGCUUCAUCAAGAAUUGCCUUCUUUAAUUCCAUAUUAUUUGGCACAUACAUUCUACUCUCCUACAUAAGCAUGCCAUCAGUUUCUCGAAUUCUGAAGUCUUUCUUCUUCCCCCGAUUCCUUGCUUGAAUUAUUUCCUGGGUCUCUUCAUCAUCCCUCUGGGCUACGAGCACACAAUCAAUUAAAAUUGGCCAGACUUGAAAAUUUGCAAGUAAAGCUUCCUCCCGAUAUUCCACUCCUAACUCCACUCCAGUGGACCUCAAAUCCGCGAGAAGAGGAACAUGAUAAUCAUUGAUGGCAUUAAGUCUAACUGGAGUCUUCCUACUAAGUGCAUCUGCCACUACAUUUGCACGACCAGGGUGAUACUCAAUCGUGCAAUCAUAAUCACUAAGCAACUCAAUCCACCUCCGCUGCCGAAGAUUAAGAUCCCUUUGAGUAAAAACAUACUGAAGACUCUUAUGAUAUGUGAAGAUCUUACAUUUCUCACCAUAAAGAUAAUGUCUUCAAAUCUUCAAAGCAAAGAUGAUAGCUGCUAACUCCAGAUCAUGAGUAGGGUAAUUUUUCUUAUAAGGCUUCAAUUGUCGUGAAGCAUAAGCAAUCAGCCUACCAUGAUGUAUCAACACACAACCUAGACCAUUUAAGGAAGCAUCACUGUAGACAUCAAAAUUACCACUAUCAUCUGGGAGUGCCAAAAUAGGUGCAUGAGUGAGAUAAUACUUUAAUUGCUAAAAACUUUGCUCACAAUUAUCAUCCCACUCAAACUUAACUUCUUUUCUAGUCAACCUUGUUAAUGGCAAAGUAAUGACUGAAAAAUCCCUAACAAACCGUCUAUAAUAGCCUGCUAGGCUAAGAAAACUCUGUACCUCAGUGACGGUUCGACAUUGCUCCCAAUUCUCCAUAGUUGCCACAUUUUGAGAAUCCACUUGAAUACCUUGAGUAGAAAUGAAUGUCCCAAAAAUGCCACUUGAUUCAACCAAAAUUGACAUUUGCUAAACUUAGCAUACAAUUGAUGUUCCCUUAAUUUCUUCAACACACAAGUAAGAUGUCGAACAUGCUCUGCUUUAGACUUAGAGUAUACCAAAAUGUCAUCAAUAAAAACAAUGACAAACCUGUCUAUAAAUGGCUGGAAUACUCGAUUCAUCAAAUCCAUGAAAGCUGCUGGUGCAUUCGUUCAUCCGAAUGGCAUCACUAGAAACUCAUAAUGACCAUAACGAGUUCUGAAAGCAGUCUUAGGGACAUCCUCACUGCUGAUCUUCAAUUGGUAAUAACCAGACCUUAAAUCAAUCUUUGAAACAUACAAGCACCUCGUAGUUGAUCAAACAAAUCGUCUAUACGUGGCAACGGAUAACGGUUUCUCGAUUCAAUUACCUAUAAUCAAUACAUAGCCUCAAAGUCCCGUCUUUCUUCCUUACAAACAAAACUGGAGCUCCCCGGGGUGAAGUACUAGGCUGAAUAAAACCUUUAUCAACUAAUUCCUGCAACUGGACUUUCAAUUCCCUCAAUUUAGCAGGAGCCAUUCUAUACGGAGUCAAAGAUAUAGGAUCCGUACCUGGAAGCAAAUCAAUACGGAGCCAAAGAUAUAGGAUCCGUACCUCGAUCUAGCGGUAAUCCAAGUAAAUCAUCAGGGAAUACAUCAGGAAAAUGUCUGACUACUCGAACAUCCUCCACACUACUUGAAGCAACAUCAUUCAACACUACAUGAGCUAAAUAUCCCUGGCAACCUUUCAAUAACAACCUUUUUGCUCUUACAGUAGAAAUAACACCAUGCUCACCCCACUACGUUCACCCAUAAAAGUAACUUCAGGUAAUCGAGGACGAUGGAAAGUAACUGUUUUCCCAUAGCAAUCUAUGUUGGCAUGAUUAUAAUGCAACCAAUAUGUGCCUAAAAUCACAUCAAAAUCAACAAUAUCUAACGGGAUAAGAUUAGCUGGCAUAACCACCUCCUUCAUCAUCACUGGACAUCCUGGAUAUACACAAUCAACAUAACGUAUCUCCCCUCUAGGCAUAGCAAACUCUAAAUCAUACCCUAGAGGCAUAGGAUGAGGCUGUGUCACUUUAGCAAAUGUAUGAGAAAUAACAGAAUGCGUAGCACCACAAUCAAUUAAAACUCUAGCAAAGUGACCAAGAAUGUUUAACCUACCCAUGAUCAAAUCUGGAUGAUUCUGAGCAUCUUGCAUAGAGAUAUUAUUAAUACGUCCCUGGGUUUGUUGUCGUCCCCCAUGACCUCUAAUAGAUUGAUGAUAUGAAAAUUAACUUGACACACAAAUUAAACCCCUAUUGUUGACAAUUGUAGUAAAGAUGUAAGUAGGGAUUGUUCUAGACCGAGGAUUAACUAGGGAUGCUAAUCAACAUAAAUAAGACUCAAAAAACAAUAAACUGGACUCUAUAAACUUAAAACUGACUUAAAUGACUCAAAAUAGCAACAAACAAUAAAAAAGACUCAAUUCUAGACCUAACAAGUGAUUUUGACGAAAAUAAACGUAACUUGACUCAAAAGAUUAAAAGAAAAUAGAUUAUGACUCAACUAACAAGACUUAAUGAAUGGGGGUUUGUUUUUGACGAAUUUAAAACUUAAAACAGAAACUUUGCAUAAAACACUUUAUAAAAACGAAUUUGGUGAAUUGAAAAGGGUGAAAGGCUAGUUAGAGGGUCCUUCUCCACACAUGACAUAUGCAUACGAACCAAUUUCCAGUUAUUAUUCCUUUAGACUAUGAAUGACUACACCCCAAGUUAACCGUGAUAGCACAAAUUAACCAUCAGAUUUUCCUUAAGUCAUUGAAUUGGAUGGAAUACGCGUCACAACCAAAUUAUCCUUAUCAAGUUCCCUAACUAUGAAAAGCAUGAUAGAAAGACAUAUCAAAGGUCAUUAAGUUCUUUGAAAACCAUAAGCAUUGACGAAGCAUUCGUAACUAUGAAAAGCAUGAUACUCCUGUCAAGGAUUCACUUAACACAAUCAUGAUUAGUGACUUCCACUACUUGUGAAUAUAAGUUCAUAACGAUUAGGUGAAACUCCCUUAUACUCUAGCAUCGAAUUCAUGCAUGCAAAUUAAGCAUGCAUCCUCAAUCAACAUACAUAAACAAGUUUUGAUAACUCAGAUAAGCAAAUCACAUUCAAGACUCAAGAAACAAUAACUGGAUGUAAUCAAUUCAUAUAAAACAUAUAAUCAUGGCUUCGAAUUCACCUCCAACUAUAAAGGAAUUAGUUCCACAUGUUUGCAGAAAUUGACAACGAAAUCAACAUAAUUGUAAAACUAAAACAAUGAUAGAAGACACCCCAAAGAUGCUCCAACACUCCCAAAAGCUUGGGCAUAGGCACGGCACAAAGGCUUCUCUUCUCCUUCCCUUCCUUGAUGCGGCACUUGAUGAGUUUCUGUGUAUAUGGUGUGAAUUGUGGUGUAGAAUUAUAUGGGGGUGGUGUGUGAAUUAUGCGGCAAAAUCAUGUAUAUAUAGCUAGGGUUAUGCACAAUUUCUGAAGGGAAAAGGAUUGCACAAUCCUAGGGGAAAAGGUUAGGGUUUGGUAGAAACCAAAGGGAAAAAGAAUUAGGAAAUUUGGCCAAAGCUUUUAGAAUGGAAUAUCUGGCAGAUUUCUAGAAGAAAAGCAAUAAAAGGUGCGGCACCAAUCUAGGGCAGGUGAUAAGGCUUCUAGAAAGGGGUAUUUAGUCGAUUGAAUGUGUAAUUGAUCCCCCCUUGCAGCUGGAAUUAUGGUAUGAUAAGAUUAGGAUAAGAUAAGAUAAGAUAAGGUUGGAUAAGGUUUUAGAUAAUGUUCCUUCAUUUUAGCUGAUUCCUUAUCUUCUUUGUCUUGAAUUAAUUUCUUCAACUCUUUAGCACAUUCCUAGCCUCUCUUGAACUUUAAAUUCGUCCAUUCCUUGUGCUCCAUAUGUAAGCUAUCCAUUCUAGCCCAAAACUGCUCCAAAAUGCUCCAAAUUACACUUUCUUGCCAACUUUGUCAUAUGAACCUGAAAACACACGAAAAUAGCUUAAAACACUAUACUAAGUAAGAACUAACAACAUAAAUACAAGAAAACAAGCUAACUAAGUCGCAUAAAUAUGCUCCUAUCACUUGAUUACCUUGCCCCUGCACACCUCGUCCCUGACUUGGCUGACCAGAUUGCCUUGAAGAUCCUGCACUACUGGAAGCAAUCUCUACUUGCUGGAGUUGUCCUCCCUGAUACCACCGAGAUCCACCAGCUGGAAUGGAAGGAUACGGUGGAUAACUUCCAGGAUACUGAGAAUACCCACUCUGGUAAUAAGGGUCCUGCGAAUACUGAUACUGCCCUGAAGCAUAAGGAGCGGCAUCGCCUUGAUAAUGGUAAGCACCACCUCGACCCAUCUGACUAUAACUACCAGACCCUGGAACUUGCUGGAUCGGCGCUGGUGGUGGUAUAGAAGGCUGUUGGGGCCUCUGCUGAUUAUGGGGACAAUUGAUAGCUAUGUCCCAUCUGCCCACAAGUAAAACAUCCACUGCUGCCUCUCCUACACUCCCCAAAAUGCCAAUUAUUACAUCUGCGACAUAAAUGAGCACUUCCUCUUCCAGCAUCUCCCUGCCUCUGGAAUCUAGGACCUCCUAAAAAUCUACCACCUCUCCUCUGACCAGUGGCACUAAAACCUCCGCUAGAAGAGUUGGAACUAGUUCCACUUCUCUUAAAGCUCUAAGUCUUGCGAGGUCCUUGAGAAAACUGACCUUUACCUUUAUCGUCUCACCUCUGAUUCCCAUUCUUUUCUUCUUCUUCUUCACUUUCACUGGGCAUAUUUUCUGAGUUCUCAAUCCUUAACAAAAUCUCAUAAAACUCCUGGUAAGUGGCACAAGGAGUCGAGGUCACUAUAAAACGCCAUUUCUUCUUUGUACCCAAUCUGAAGCGACGGAGCAUCUCAACCGGAUUAGCUGCAACCUCCAGAUGAUAACGAGACAAGUCAGUGAAUCUCCUAUAAUACUCAUUUGCCGUCAUCUUCCCCUAUUUUAAUUGAGUAAACUCUUGCUUUUUGCAAUCAAUAUACUUAUGGGGAAUAAACCUUUUUUGAAACAACUGUUUAAAUACUUCCCAAUCCUCAAUUUCAUCUAAGGUCAACUGAUAAGACUCCUAUCUCCACUAGGAUGCAGGUUCCAAACACAAAAACCAAGUAGUCAUUUCGACCCACCUAUCAGAAGGAAGAUUCCCCUAACUUUGCAUUACAUGGAAAGCCUUCUCAAUAUGAUUGAUCCUUUCUCCGCUCCUUCAUGUCCUUCAUUCCCUAUAAAAUGAUUCAGCUUUAGAUUAUACACAGUCUCAAGAGGUUUCUUUUGGGGAGGACGACGCGAAGACUGAAUAGCAUUAGCUAUAGCCUCCCCUAACUGAGCUAUAUAAGGGAAACUAGGCUCAACAGAAGGACGUGGAUCUCUACGAGGUGGCAUAGUUCUGACAGAAGACAUCAAAAUAAUUAGAAACUCUCAAGAUAUGCAGGACUACAAACCUAAUGCUCUAAUACUAAACUGACACACCCCGACCUAGAUCGAGGUAUGCUGGCCGUCAUGUGGGAGUGACGUAACCAUGUGCAUAGUACGAAAGCAAUAAAGAUAUAAGGGAAUUUCGAAGGAAUAAAAACCAAACUACUAGCAGAACUAGUUAAGAUAAAGUGCUAGUGCGAGAUUAAGGGUGAAAUACACAACCAGAGCAUAAAUAUUCUAGAUGUAGUCAAGCAGGACAAGUGCUAAUUUUACAACACCCAAGGCUGAUCUUACAUUUAUGAUGUUCAGAACCCCCUUCGAAAUCUUCGUGAUCCACCAAAGCACUUCUACCUAAAACCUGGAGGGGUGCAAAAUAGAAAGUGUGAGUGGGCAAAAACAAAGCUUUUCAAAAUCAUUUCAUUUCUGAAAAGUUCUAACCCCUCGCCAUAAAACCUGUAUAAUUGCCCAGAAAAUAAUAAUAAUAAUAAGCUUGUGUCAGAAAUCAUACUCAAGGUGAAAAUCCAUAGAAAUAUACCAUGCUAAAGUAUCUCAAUGUAAUGCUAUAAGUAAUCCAAGCAAAAUAUAUCAAUGUCAAAUAUCGCAUCAGCCAAAUCCCUCUAACUCAAUCUGCACGGCUGAGUAUAUAGCUCAUAACCAAUCUCAAUCAUACCAAAUCACAUCUUGCACACGAUUCGGAACCACCUAAAGUUGUCUGUAGCACAAGAUUAGGUGUAAAGUAAAUAUGCUCUAGUGCUACGAUCACGUGAAGGCUGUGCAAAUAAUCGCGGGUCACCUACAAGUUGAAACCACCUAAAGUGGUAUGUAUGACAAACCUGUGCACCUAACUUGGAUCCAAGGUAAGCAUAUGGUGCGAGAGGUGAACAUCACGUGAAGGACUGUGCCCUAACUCUAGGCGGGAGCACUAACACCGGGGUGCAGGUUUAUGAGCUCUCAAUACAUCACAUCAUAUCUCACAUAACUGAAGUAACCUCAAAUCUUUAAUUUAUGAACUUACCUAGCACUUACAUGUGCGUUCGCAGCACCAAUUAUAAUUAUAUGCAACGACUAAUGCAUAAAUAAAAUAGGCAGAUACUUUGCAUGGCAUUUCAAAACGUAUAAUCAUUCAAAUUCAUUUUCUGGGAAAAAAUCUCAAGUAUAUAGGUAUAUACGGAAAACCAAAAGGCCACUCACUGAUAUGUUGAAAGGUCAUAGCCCUAUUGCCUCAAAUGAUGGCCCUCGUCCUCAGGAUAGGUCUCACUAUAUGCAAAAUAACUGAAUAAACGUUAUUUAAAGCACAUACACAAAACUAGGAUAUAACUUCUCAUACAUUGCUCAAAUGGGGUAUUUGAAUAUACCACCAUGAUCUACUCAACCUCAGGAACAUCGCCAAAUUUUUAGAAAAAAUUUCCAGACGCGCCCCCACACGCGACCAAACCCUAACUGAAACUUAAUUGCCGUUAGGAAUAUUCCGUUAAAACCUUAACAUAAAUUAACGGCGUUACCUGGCGCCUUUAGAAUAUUCCAUCAGACUUGAUGGAAUAUUCGCCUGCGUCUUCCUUGGAACGUCGGAGAUCGUCGCCGGUGCCGUUUUCUAGAAAAAUAAGCAAACCUUCAUAUCUUCUUCGAUUUUCAACCAAAAUUCACAAAAUCUAUACCAAAUUAAAGCUUAGGAUGAGAGGAACAAAACCUUACAACUUUAGGGACCUAAGACCAACGGAAUCUCGCCGGAGAAACUUUGAUAAUUCGGCCAAACUUGAAACUUAUCAAACUCAACUUCCUGACGUCCAAAACACUUCGUUUUUCUUCUCCGAGCUUCGCGAAGAUGUCCUAAGGCUCACUAGCAACUUAAAAUUUCCUAAAAACUUCAAAAUCACGAGUGCAUUAACAGUAACCCAAAACUAUGUUCUCAGGUUCUCGGGAAAAUGAGGUCUUCACGCCCAAAUAAUAGUAUCAAUGGGUUCUUGGGCUCACAAGGAACAUGAAUAUGGUCUCCAUUGGUUUGAUCUGAGGACGAAAGUGAAUGUUCAAGGUUUGUCCGUACAAUUGUAUGGACAUGGAAGAAAAUGCGAGAGGGAGGAGAGAGAGUCAAUGGGAUAGGGUGAGGGUAUGUGUGUGUGAUCUAGUUUGCAGUCAAUCAACCAAAACCUUAGGCCUUUUGUUCUAAUUGGGUCCAAAUAAUAAGGAAUAGAACCUAUUGGUCCAAAACCUUAGUUUACACACACACACAACUCAAUAAUAAAAAGGGUAUAAUAGAAAUUUCCAUGCUCUCGAGGAUAAAUAAUAUAUACGUUCGGGACGAGCUGUCACAAAUCAUCCCCAAAAAAAGGGGUUGACAAUUAAGAAAGGGAGAGAGUGAGUUUAGAGAGUAUUGAUAAAGUGACAUAACUAUGAGAUCUAGCCCCAUUUUUUGGCUCAUUAGAGAUGAAAUUUCUCACUAAGGCUUGAAAUGUAGGAGCCUCAUGGAGGAUAAAGCCCCCAUUGAAAUGCUCUAAAAAGAGUUGUGUGGAUAACACAUCCUUAUUUUUAUUACUUUUUAGUAUGAUCAAGUACUUCUUCACCAUGUCAUCAAGUAGUGGAUCCUAUGAAGAAAAAAAAAUUCCCCAGUGCCUAGGAGUAGACACAUUUUAGCCUUUCUAGGGGCUGAAGUACACCCAUUUUCAAAAUGCCUGUUUGUUGGUACCGUUUUGUUUAAUUUCGGAGCUUAUAUUGACCAAAUGUCAUUUGAUUGGAGACGACCUAAAGGUUUGGGCUUGUAGUUUGACCUAUACUAAUAAUUUUGCUUGUGGUUGGGCCUAUAAACAUAUUUCUACAAAACCUGUUCAGUUCGGUUUAUUUCGUUGUUGAAGAGUACAAAAUUGAGAAUUGUACCGAAACAGACCGGUUCGGUUCGGUUUUGUUACCUGUUUGACUGAUUUGGUCAACUCGAUGUUUUUUUUUUUCAAUUUUUUCACUCAAUUUUUCGGUUCAUCUGUUGUUUUCCCCUCCCCUAGUGAUUAACUCUGCUAAGACGUGACACCUAGAACUUGAAUACAUUAACCAUAACAUAAUUUUCAAUAUGGCCACUUUGGUGCUAGUGGAUUAUGUCCAUCACAUCAACGUAAGGCGGUAUCAUGAUUCAUGACAUUCAUCAGCUACUAUUCUCGGUUGGACUUGUGUGUAUUUUACAACUAACAAAUCUGAUUCUGAAUCAUUUGCAAAACUUUACAAAGAAUCUGAUUCUGAAUCAUUUGCAAAACUUUACAAAGAAUUCAAGAGUAUAAGUAGAUGAACAAAAGUGUAGGUCUCCUUAAAUUCGAUCAUUGAACAAGAAUACUUUAAAAGAAUACGUUGAAAGCAACAAAGGAAAGUGACAUCAUAAAAGUACGGAGAAGAACGAAAUCUAGUUCUAUAUGAUUUGGACUCCAUGAAUUGCUCAUAGAGUUACACCUCCUUAAUGUAAACAAUUUAAAGAGAUGAUCAUUGUGACUACACUCAGCCUAUGUAUGACACUGACCAAAGGAAAUGGUGUACCGUCAUUGAACUCAAUACGAGUUAUGUUAGUACCAAUUGUCUUGAUUCUAGUUUAUCAAGGAAAUGGAAUACUGUCAUUGAACCCAAUGAGUUAUAUUAGUACCAAUCGUCUUGAUUCUAGUUGACCCUUAAUCUAGAAAAAAAAUUCCUUAAGGUCCUAAUUUUUAACCAAAUUUAAGCCUUUGAAUAGUCCCAUUCAAAUGAGGGAAACCUCAAAUAACCUUAUUUGAGAGACACCUUGUGGAGCUCGCUCGUAACUUUAUUUCAAUAAUACAACCUUAUUCGUUACAAAAAAUCAGACUAAUCAAACCCUUGGAGACAUCCAAUUGUAGCGAGGAAAAUAAAAGAACACAAUGCAUUAGACUUAUUAUGACGCGUUUCUUUCUAAAAUACAACAUUAUUAAAGACCGUAUAUCGAAAAUAAAUCCAAAAACAAAAACUGAAAAACAAAAUAAAGAGGAAGUGGCAGGCCUCGCAUACGAUUGGUAAGUGCCUAGCCAUAUAAAACAUUUGAGGCCUACGAUUCCCUGACUAACAAAAAGCCAACAAAACAAACCUUCAAAGAAAUAGCAAAUGCAAGCACACAAGAGAAAAACAGAUUCCUCUCAAGCUUUCAAGCCAGUAUUUAAAUAUAAAUUUGCAUACCAGUUUUCGACCACAAACUGACGCUACAAUAAACUUUCAGAUACAAUAAAAACUACUAAUAUUAAUGUUCCCGGAUGAAAAAAAACCCGUCAAAUAUAGAACAAAAGUGAAAUAAAAGGAAGACGAAGAAAAGCAUCCCAAUCACUCUCCUGCUACAAACAUCCUACCGAAAGAGAUGGUUGAACCAAAGAUUAGGCAAGGCGAGGAUGGUUUUGGACUGAUUUUCUGCCCACCACAUAUACAUAGAACCAUUUGCCAUUGCAAGCAAAAUCUCUCGCGUGGAUGAGAAGUCAACAUCUGAAUCUACCCCAUCCUCGAGUGACCCCACCU